UGGGGCCGAUGGCAGAGAACAUCCUGUGGCUUACAUCAGUCGCAAGCUGUUACCCCGAGAAGUAAGCUACGCCGCCAUCGAGAAGAAAUGCCUGGCUGUGGUGUGGGCCCUGAAGAAAUUGCAGCCGUAUUUGUAUGGACAGCCCUUUUCCUUGCUCACGGAUCACAACCCGUUAGUAUGGCUGAACCGGGUGGCUGGGGACAAUGCCAGGCUGCUGCGCUGGAGUUUGGCGCUGCAGCCCUUUGACUUUAACAUUCAGUACCACCCAGGAAAACAGAAUGGGAACGCUGACGGGUUGUCAAGACAAACUGACCUGGAGAAAUGAUUCGUGAGCAUCCUCAAGCCGAUCCGUGUUGGAUCAGACUGUGUAUGCCAGCUUGUGGGCAAGGGGGAGCAGUGUAGCGGAUGGCACUGUGGCUGUCCUUAAAAAACUAUGAGAAUCCUGCAAUUCGUGUGUUGUUUCUGAUUUGUAUUCCCUGUAAAUGGCAUUCGUAUGUUUGUUCA